rnacentral:rRNA from 1 species
UGGCGGACGGGUGAGUAAUGUCUGGGAAACUGCCCGAUGGAGGGGGAUAACUACUGGAAACGGUAGCUAAUACCGCGUAACGCCGCAAGACCAAAGAGGGGGACCUUCGGGCCUCUUGCCAUCGGAUGUGCCCAGAUGGGAUUAGCUAGUAGGUGGGGUAACGGCUCACCUAGGCGACGAUCCCUAGCUGGUCUGAGAGGAUGACCAGCCACACUGGAACUGAGACACGGUCCAG